GAAGAUGCCGCCUACCCGCAGCAGGACGGAAAGACCCUAUGCACCUUUACUGUAAGCUGUUAUUGUCGCUUGACUUCCAAUACGUAGAAUAGGUGGGAGACUGCGAAGCUUGGUUCCAGGAUCAGGCUGAGUCACAACGUGAAAUACCACUUUUUAAUUGUUAGGCGUCUAACCUCAUACCAUUAUCUGGUUGUGGGACAGUGAUAGCAGGUCAGUUUUUCUGGGGCGGAAUCCUCCCAAAAAGUAACGGAGGAUUACGAAGGUUCCCUCGGCCCGGUCGGUAAUCGGGCUAUAGAGCGCAUGAGUAUAAGGGAGCUUUACUGUGAGACCAACAAGUCGAGCAGUUGCGAAAGCAGGUUCAAGUGAUCCGGUGGUUGAAUGUGGAAUCGCCAUCGCUCAUAGGACAAAAG
rnacentral:rRNA from 1 species